UGUGUCUGGACACCCUGAUUUUCCCAGCUCAAUAACUGAACCUCUUCUAUAUGAAGUUCCCAGGGUGUGCUACCCUGUGCUGGUAAAAUUACAUUUUGGUUGCUGCCCUACAUUUAGACUGCUGCAAGAAGUCUGGACAUUGAUGGUUUGUUUGCAAGUCUCUAGGCUGGGAGUGCAGCUGUGUGGACCAGUGUCUGGUUCCUUUCCUGUGCUGAAGCGAAAAACAAACAAACAAACAACAAUCGGAGAGAAAGUCGCUGAGAAUGGAGCAAUGACAGCAGACCUUCACAUCACCCAUCUCCAGCUCUGCCUAUCUCUGGAGGAGGCGUCCAGUGGAACAUCCUGACAAAAUGGGAAUCCUCUGGAGCUGCCAU